rnacentral:rRNA from 1 species
CAGUAGCCGCGGUAAUACGAAGGGUGCAAGCGUUACUCGGAAUUACUGGGCGUAAAGCGUGCGUAGGUGGUGGUUUAAGUCCGUUGUGAAAGCCCUGGGCUCAACCUGGGAAUUGCAGUGGAUACUGGGUCACUAGAGUGUGGUAGAGGAUAGUGGAAUUUCCGGUGUAGCAGUGAAAUGCGUAGAGAUCGGAAGGAACAUCUGUGGCGAAGGCGACUAUCUGGGCCAACACUGACACUGAGGCACGAAAGCGUGGGGAGCAAACAGGAUUAGAUACCCGCGUAGUCCUUGUCUCUUAUAC